GUAUAAAUAAUUUUACUUUGAAACUGCGAAUGGCUCAUUAUAUCAGUUAUAGUUUAUUAGAAAUAYUUUACUACUUGGAUAACCGUAGUAAUUCUAGGGCUAAUACAUGAVUAAAWCCUCAACUUCGGAAGAGGUGUGUUUAUUAGUAUGAAAACCAUAUAUCUUCGGAUAUAAUAGUGAGUAAUAAUAACCUUUCRUAUCGUAUGUCGUAAGAUAACGAUAGUUCUUUCAAGUUUCUGCCCUAUCAGCUUUCGAUGGUAGUAUAUGGGACUACCAUGGCAGUAACGGGUAACGAAGAAUUUGGGUUCGAUUUCGGAGAGGGAGCCUGAGAGAUGGCUACCACAUCCAAGGAAGGCAGCAGGCGCGUAAAUUACCCAAUCCUGACAUAGGGAGGUAGUGACAAUAAAUCACAAUGCGGAACUUUUAGUUUUGCAAUUGGAUUGAGAACAAUGUACAAAUGUUAUCGAUAAACAAUUGGAGGGCAAGUCUGGUGCCAGCAGCC
rnacentral:rRNA from 1 species